UACGUAGGGUGCAAGCGUUUAAUCGGAAUUACUGGGCGUAAAGCGUGCGCAGGCGGUUAUGCAAGACAGAUGUGAAAUCCCCGGGCUUAACCUGGGAACUGCAUUGGUGACUGGCAGGCUUUGAGUGUGGCAGAGGGAGGUAGAAUUCCACGUGUAGCAGUGAAAUGCGUAGAGAUGUGGAGGAAUACCGAUGGCGAAGGCAGCCCCCUGGGAUAACACUGACGCUCAUGCACGAAAGCGUGGGGAGCAAACAGG
rnacentral:rRNA from 1 species